rnacentral:rRNA from 1 species
CGGACGAACGCUGGCGGCGUGCUUAACACAUGCAAGUCGAACGGAAAGGCCCCUUCGGGGGUACUCGAGUGGCGAACGGGUGAGUAACACGUGGGCAACCUGCCCCUAGCUUCGGAAUAACAUCUGGAAACAGAUGCUAAUACCGGAUAAUAACCGACGAGGGCAUCCUUAUCGGUUCAAAGUUUUUCGGCUAGGGAUGGGCCCGCGGCCUAUCAGCUUGUUGGUGGGGUAAUGGCCUACCAAGGCGACGACGGGUAGCCGGCCUGAGAGGGCGACCGGCCACACUGGGACUGAGAUACGGCCCAGACUCCUACGGGAGGCAGCAGUGGGGAAUAUUGCGCAAUGGGCGAAAGCCUGACGCAGCGACGCCGCGUGAGGGACGACGGUCUUCGGAUUGUAAACCUCUUUCAGCUCUGACGAAGCGAAAGUGACGGUAGGAGCAGAAGAAGCACCGGCCAACUACGUG